UGGAAAUAAUGGCGUGCAUCACCAC
rnacentral:piRNA from 1 species